CUACGGGCCGCUGCAGUGAGGAAUUUUGCGCAAUGGGGGAAACCCUGACGCAGCAAUGCCGCGUGAGUGAAGAAGGCCUUCGGGUCGUAAAGCUCUGUCAGAUGGGAAGAAUGUAGAUAUGAUUAAUAGUUGUAUUUAGUGACGGUACCAUCAAAGGAAGCACCGGCUAACUCCGUGCCAGCAGCCGCGGUAAUACGGAGGGUGCAAGCGUUAUUCGGAAUCAUUGGGCGUAAAGGGCGCGUAGGCGGUAAUACAAGUCAGAUGUGAAAUCCCGGGGCUUAACUUCGGAGGGUCAUUUGAAACUGUAUUACUUGAGUUCGGUAGAGGAAAGCGGAAUUCCUGGUGUAGCGGUGAAAUGCGUAGAUAUCAGGAGGAACAUCAGUGGCGAAGGCGGCUUUCUGGCCCGAUACUGACGCUGAUGCGCGAAGGCAUGGGUAGCAAACGGGAUUAGAUACCCCGUAGUC
rnacentral:rRNA from 1 species